AAAUAGGGUUCCCCAACCAAGAUUGACUUCCUCUCUCUUUCUUAUACAAGGCAUGCAGAAGAUGUGUGGCAAGCAUGGGAGUUCCUCUCAAAGUUAGGUGAUCUUAGCCAAACUCUGAUUUUUGCCAAAAUUGAGAAUGUGGAGGGCUUGAACCAUUUUGAUGAGAUCCUGGAAGAAGCAGAUGGUAUAAUUCUGUCAAGAGGAAA